AUGCUCUGCCCUGGCCUGCUGUGGGCAUUCCUGGCCUCCUUUGGCUUCAGAUCCAGCAUGGCUCAGAAAGUAACCCAAACUCAGACCAUAAUGACAAGGAGGGAAGGAGAAGCUGUGACCAUGGACUGCACGUACGAAAUCAGUUGGAGCAGUUACUAUGAUUUGCACUGGUACAAACAGCCUCCCAGCGGAGAGAUGGUUUUCCUGAUUUAUCAGGAUUAUUACCAAUCAAGUGCAAAGCAGGAUCGCUUCUCUGUGAACUUUCAAAAGGCAAAAAAUUUCAUCAGCCUCACCAUCUCUUCCUUACAACUGAAAGACUCAGCGAUGUACUUCUGUGCUCUCCGGGAUCCCACAGUAAUAAAAACGACGGUGGAAGAUAAUCAAAAACCUUAGAGCUCCAUAGAGGCAGCCACC